rnacentral:rRNA from 1 species
AGCAUAUCAAUAAGCGGAGGAAAAGAAACCAACAGGGAUUGCCCUAGUAACGGCGAGCGAAGCGGCAACAGCUCAAAUUUGAAAUCUGGCUAUUUUGUAGUCCGAGUUGUAAUUUGUAGAGGAUGCUUUUGGUGAGGUGCCUUCCGAGUUCCCUGGAACGGGACGCCAGAGAGGGUGAGAGCCCCGUACGGUUGGAUACCAAACCUUUGUAUAGCUCCUUCGACGAGUCGAGUAGUUUGGGAAUGCUGCUCUAAAUGGGAGGUAUAUCUCUUCUAAAGCUAAAUAUAGGCUAGAGACCGAUAGCGCACAAGUAGAGUGAUCGAAAGAUGAAAAGCACUUUGAAAAGAGAGUUAAACAGCACGUGAAAUUGUUGAAAGGGAAGCGCCUAUGACCAGACUUGUUUCUUUCAGUUUUGUUAGUUUUCGGACUGAUUUACUCUGUUAGUACAGGCCAGCAUCAGUUUGUUGUCAGGGAGAAAGGCUUAGGGAAUGUGGCUCUUUCGGGAGUGUUAUAGCCCUUUGCAUAAUACCUUUCGGCAGACUGAGGACCGCGCUUCGGCAAGGAUGCUGGCGUAAUGGUCAUCAGCGACCCGUCUUGAAACACGGACCAAGGAGUCAACCUUAUGUGCGAGUGUUUGGGUGUAAAACCCCAGCGCGUAAUGAACGUGAACGUAGGUGAGAGCUUCGGCGCAUCAUCGACCGAUUCUGAUGUUCUCGGAUGGAUUUGAGUAAGAGCACACAGGGUUGGACCCGAAAGAAGGUGAACUAUGCUUGUAUAGGGUGAAGCCAGAGGAAACUCUGGUGGAGGCUCGCAGCGGUUCUGACGUGCAAAUCGAUCGUCAAAUAUGAGCAUGGGGGCGAAAGACUAAUCGAACCUUCUAGUAGCUGGUUCCAGCCGAA